UUGAUGUGACAGAGUUCUGACUUGGUGCCUCCUGCUGUGUUGAUUUUAUUCCGGGGAGUUGAGCUCUAGGCGAUUCUUGAGCACAUCGUUAUCAUUCAGUUUUUUUAGUAUCUCAGGACGAAGGAUGUUCGAAAUUGCUUCAAUACUAGUAGUGGCGAGAUAAGCCCGGCAUCCCCAGUAUUGGUGCAGAGAGUUCACGGGUACGGCCAUACUUAGUAUCAUAGUGAUUACGAGGG
rnacentral:lncRNA from 1 species